UACGUAGGGGGCUAGCGUUGUCCGGAAUCAUUGGGCGUAAAGCGCGUGUAGGCGGUCCGGUAAGUCCGCUGUGAAAGUCGGGGGCUCAACCCUCGGAUGCCGGUGGAUACUGUCGGGCUUGAGUACGGAAGAGGCGAGUGGAAUUCCUGGCGUAGCGGUGAAAUGCGCAGAUAUCAGGAGGAACACCAAUUGCGAAGGCAGCUCGCUGGGACGUUACUGACGCUGAGACGCGAAAGCGUGGGGAGCAAACAGG
rnacentral:rRNA from 1 species